UUAACAGUAAUGUUGAGGAUGGAGGCAGUGGUGUAGCAAUUCUUUCGAAUGUAUGAACAGAAAUCUGAUAUAAGGCUAAAUGAUGGAUGAGAUUGCUAUCCAAACCUAAGUUCAAAAGGUAAAUGUAAAACCAAGAUAGUAAAUCAGGGCGUUGUGAAAGAAACAGGAUUUGU
rnacentral:ncRNA from 1 species